ACUAUACAGAAAUAGUGGUGAAGAGAGAAGAGGGGAAAGUGACCCUUCCUGCAGGGACAGCUGUCCAUACUUUCAUGUAUAUUGAAGUUCAACAAAACAAAACAGGCAGCAGGGGAAGAGUUGCUUGGUUUCCCGGUGCUCCAGGUCCCAGCAUGGCCCAGGUCCCAGCACAGUGGUGUCCACCAAGAGGCCAAAGCAGGAAGAACAUUUGAGCCUGGGAGUUCAAGGCCAGCCUGGGAAACACAGCGAGACUGACUCAAAAAGUAAAUAAGCCUUGUGUGUGAUGGCACAUGCCUUUUUUUUUAUUUAAGGAGAAAAAGAAAAAAAAAGCAGAAAAAGGGUACAAGUUAUACAGAA